GGACAGAUGUCUGAGUGGUUGAAGGUUUCAGUCUUGAAAACUGAUGUAUUUGAAUACCGUGGGUUCGAAUCCCACUCUGUCCGCGA
rnacentral:tRNA from 1 species